rnacentral:rRNA from 1 species
CACGUAGGGGGCAAGCGUUGUCCGGAAUCAUUGGGCGUAAAGAGCUCGUAGGCGGCUCGGUAAGUCGGGUGUGAAACCCCCAGGCUCAACCUGGGGACGCCACCCGAUACUGCUGUGGCUAGAGUCCAGUAGGGGAGUGUGGAAUUCCCGGUGUAGCGGUGAAAUGCGCAGAUAUCGGGAGGAACACCAGCGGCGAAGGCGGGUUGCUGGGCUGACACUGACGCUGAGGCGCGAAAGCUAGGGGAGCGAACGGG